UACGUCAGAACUUAUUCGAAAAAACUGUUUCCAUUUCUCAUUUUGCGCAUUAACUCUUUUUUGAAAAACCAGCUCAACUGAGCGUAAAAACGUUUUGCGCAUUUUGCUGUUUCCAUAAAUAGCAAAAUGCGCAAAAUGGCAAAAUGCGCAUCAAAAUACGUUUGUGGAAACACGGCUAUAGAAUGAGCCCUGAGGGCAGAAGAAAAAGCACAAAACUGAAGGACUGACACUAAUCAUGCUAGCACAUACAUACAUAAGAGGUGCUGGUGCUCAGAUGAUCAUAUCCACCUUCCAGGCUUUAGCAUUUGCUAAUGUGGCUAUCGUGUCCUCCAUGUCCAGGAUUCUUCAGACUUUCUGCUCUUUUGAUAUAAUGGCGUGAUCUGGCAGGCGGUGAUCUGAUACAUUGUAGACCGCAGGACCACAGCCAAUUAAAAUGAUAGAAAGAAGGAAGGCAGAGAUGAAAGAAGGAAGGAAGUAAGAGAGUGAGAUGUGUGGCAGGGGGAUGGAGGAAGAAAAUAAAGUUUGAGAAAGGAGUAAAGGAGAAGGAAAGAAUGGAUAGAAGCAAGGAAAGGGGAAAGGGAUCGUGACAAGCUAUGUGUGACUCACACGCAACCUCUGAAUCUCAUGGACCACGAAGCAGGGAGACUGGCUUUCAUUUGUUUAAAACAUUUGAAAAAGACACACCUUCACUGUAAUGUUGAAACAUUAAUUCACAGCUGUGGGGGCAAAAAAGAACAAAUGCAAAUCAUAAUUUUUUUUUAACAUUCAGUUUUGUAAAAAAGUCAUUUUGUAUUUCAAGGUAUUAUGUGAC